rnacentral:rRNA from 1 species
GACGAACGCUGGCGGCGUGCCUAAUACAUGCAAGUCGAACGCAGUGGGGACGGGUGAGUAACACGUGGGUAACCUCCCAUCAGAGGGGAGAACACUUGGAAACAGGUGCUAAACCGAUACUGAUGGAUGGACCCGCGGUGCAUUAGCUAGUUGGUGAGGUAACGGCUCACCAAGGCCACGAUGCAUAGCCGACCUUAGAGGGUGAUCGGCCACACUGGGACUGAGACACGGCCCAGACUCCUACGGGAGGCAGCAGUAGGGAAUAUUCGGCAAUGGGCGAAAGUCUGACCGAGCAACGCCGCGUGAGUGAAGAAGGUUUUCGGAUCGUAAAACUCUGUUGUUGGGGAAGCGGUAUCUAAACAGAAAGCAACGGCUAACUACGUGCCAGCAGCCGCGGUAAUUC